rnacentral:lncRNA from 1 species
CCUGUGUUCUUUGUGGAAGGAGCGGUUCUGAAUAUUGGAGAUUUGUCCUCCCUGCCUACCUUCUGAGAGAAGGCAUUGAUGCGUAACUGAACCCUGGACGGGCCAAUCAAGACUCACAAGGAGUGGGUUUCAGGAAACCAAGAUGAUGUGUCCUCAGCCACCUGAAAAAAUACGCAGAAACUCAGGUUACAUCUGGAAUUCAUUCCGUGUUUUCUCUGUCCGUUCCUGAUCAGUUUUCUCACCGCCGUCUCCAAGAAAAUUAGGCGAUCUGGAAAUAGGUGUGCAGUGAACUGGGACAUUUUUGGAAAUCAAGGAAAAGCAGCAAUAGGGGAAGAGAUGGCAUCUUUGUUCUUGAUGGUCUUGCUCUGUAUGCUAUAGACCGAUGCUGCCUGAGAGAACAAGUGACCGAGAGGAGCAGAUGACUACCAGGCUCUAGAUACCUGGAAUCCAGAAAUGAUGGUGCCCUGCUACCCGGGAUCAUUGUCUUAGGCAUGAG